UCGCAUUUGAUUAAUAUAUCAUCAUUCUAAUAAACCCGUAUUGCCCUUUCACUGUUCCAUUUCCGGAACUCUCCCGCCGCACUCUCACCCCGUCCCAGCACGAGCGCACCGUAAAUCCUGCUUUUUUUAAAUUAAAAUCAAUGCCCUUUAUACACCACCACCCCAUUUUAUUAGAAACGGGAUUUUCCCCCUCUUCGUCUUUCAGAGAAAAUGUUAAAAUAAUUAUUUUGGUCUUUCUGUCUGCUAAGUUUACUUGAGAGAGUUUUUGCCUUCUCAGCAUCCCUCCUAUUCAAACUAUAAAAGGAUAUAUAAAACUGUGGAUAAAAGUAUUUCUAAAAAUAUAUAAAGUCAAGCUGUUCAGAGAAAGGAAUGUGGAGUGAAUCUUCCUGGAAUGUCUCGUCGCGAGGAAUUUUUUGAACAGUUUAUUUUUUGUAAAUAGACACAAAUUCCUAAACUAUUAUCUCUGCAGAGAGCUCCUCCUCCCCAGUUAACUCAGAUAAAAUAAAGCUUUUUAAGGCCUGAAGAAGACGUUUGUGGCCUCAAACCUCCUUUGCCUCAGCCCAGCUGUGUCCGUUGAGCUGAAAUAAAAAUAAAAAUGUUAUUUUUCUCUUCAAAGCUCUUUCUGCUCCUCAGCCACCAGGCCGAGGCCAAGCGCAAAACGAGCCGCUCAUGAAUAAACAUGAAUUGCAAAUUAGGGGAUUUCGAACUCUCGGGGGUCGAGAUUCUGGAGGUUUUGCAGGGGAGACA